rnacentral:rRNA from 1 species
CCGGUUGAUCCUGCCGGAGGCCACCGCUAUCGGGAUGCGAUUAAGCCAUGUGAGUCGCGAGGGUUCGGCCCUCGGCGGACUGCUCAGUAACACGUGGACAACCUGCCCUCGAGAGGGGAAUAACCCCGGGAAACUGGGACUAAUGCCCCAUGGGCCUGGGAGGCUGGAAUGCACCCAGGCCGAAAUGCUCAGGCGCUCGAGGAUGGGUCUGCGGUCGAUUAGGUAGUUGCAGGGGUAACGUCCCUGCAAGCCAAUAAUCGGUACGGGCUCUGAGAGAAGGAGCCCGGAGAUGGACUCUGAGACACGAGUCCAGGCCCUACGGGGCGCAGCAGGCGCGAAACCUUUACAAUGCGGGGAACCGCGAUAAGGGUAUCCCGAGUGCCCGCGCACAGCGUGGGCUGUCCCCGAGCCUAAAAAGCUCGGGUUAGGAAGGACCGGGCAAGACCGGUGCCAGCCGCCGCGGUAACACCGGCGGUCCGAGUGGUGGUCGAUAUUAUUGGGCCUAAAGCGUCCGUAGCCGGCCGGGUAAGUCCCUCGGGAAAUCCGGUUGCUCAACCUCCGGAAUUCCGAGGGAAACUGUCCGGCUUGGGACCGGGAGGGGCUGCGGGUACGUCGGGGGUAGGGGUGAAAUCCUGUAAUCCUCGACGGACCACCUGUGGCGAAAGCUCGCAGCUGGAACGGAUCCGACGGUGAGGGACGAAAGCCAGGGGCACGAACCGGGAUUAGAUACCCGGGUAGUCCUGGCCGUAAACGAUGCCCGCUCAGUGCUGGCCGUGGUACGUCCGCGGUCGGUGCUCAGUGAAGACGUGAAGCGGGCCGCCUGGGAAGUACGUCCGCAAGGAUGAAACUUAAAGGAAUUGGCGGGGGAGCACCACAACGGGAGGAGCCUGCGGUUCAAUUGGAUUCAACGCCGGAAAUCUCACCGGGGCUGACAGCUGAAUGAUGGCCACUCUGAAGGGGUUGCUUGACUAGCUGAGAGGAGGUGCAUGGCCGCCGUCAGCUCGUACCGUGAGGCGUCCUGUUAAGUCAGGCAACGAGCGAGACCCACGUCCUCAGUUGCCAGCGUUACCCUUCGGGGUAGACGGGUACACUGAGGAGACUGCCCCUGCUAAAUGGGAGGAAGGUGUGGGCGACGGUAGGUCAGUAUGCCCCGAAUGUCCCGGGCUACACGCGGGCUACAAUGGCUUGGACAGAGGGUACCGACGUCGAAAGACGGAGGCAAUCCCUAACCGAGUCGUAGUUCGGAUCGAGGGCUGAAACUCGCCCUCGUGAAGCUGGAUUCCGUAGUAAUCGCGCCUCAAAAUGGCGCGGUGAAUACGUCCCUGCUCCUUGCACACACCGCCCGUCAAACCACCCGAGUGGUGCCCGGGUGAAGCCCUUCUUGUCACUCUGUGAUUGGAAGGGUUGAACCCGAGUUCCGCAAGGGGGGUUAAGUCGUAACAAGGUAGCCGUAA